GCUUUCAUUCUUUUCUUCUUAAUUUCUUCUUCUAAUUUUCUUCCUAGUCACUUUAUUUAUCAUUUCUUAUAAUUUCUUGUUAUUCUUUCUUUGUUGACUCAUAGACCAGAUAUAGUAAUCACUGAUGGAUCAAACCUCAACUUUGAAUGAACCCAAUAAAAUCUCUCUCCCUCUCUCUUUCUCUCUCUUCUCUAUUGAUUGACCCAAAUCAAAGCC
rnacentral:lncRNA from 1 species